AAAGCUCAGGGCCCUUGUUCACUAGAAGCAAGGAGUCCCCUGACCCCCUUCUUCAAAACAUACUCUUCAGUCUUUGUCUUUAUUCCCGCCUUGGUCCUCCUUUGUUCAGUCCAGCAAGGUCCACAGCAAAGUGCUGCCCGAAAACAGGGUCUUGAGGACAUGAACAAAGAAGGUCUGCUGGAGCAGAGGAAGUGAAAUUGACCAGAUGAACAGGGACCCUGGGAUGAAUCUGCUGGCAGUGGAUAUAAGGGGCAAAGCCAGGAUCUGAACCCAGACGGCCCGGCUCCGGAGUCCAUGCUCCUGAGCACCACACAGUGCUGCUCCCUUGGAAAUUCAGAAAGGCUGGACCCCGUGCUCCAGGGCAGCAGGAGGAGGGCACAUGCCAAGGAUGUCACUGGAAAGGGAGCAGAGGUGAGGCUGUGAAGCCUUUAUACCCAAGAGAAACUCAGCUGGACACCAGUAACAUAAGUGCUAUUCAUUGAAAAGAGCAAAGCAAGAGCGCUGACCCCUUACGGACAGGAUGAAACAAAACAAGCUCUGCAAGUCUGCCUCCUGCUCAGCAUACAGGCUUGUUGCCCCACUGGGCCAUCUUGUUGUUGAUGGGCAUCUUGCAGAACUGAUCAGACUUGAAUAGCCAUGGAGCUCCUAAAAAGAAUGGGACCUUUCACUUGACCUCCCUUCUCUCCCUUGCCUACUGCCCCUGAGCGAGUGCUUCAGCUACAGUCUGGGAGCCGAAGAUGCCUGUGUUUGAUGCCUCCAGCACCCUGUCUCUGCAUCUUGAAUCCAGCCACGUGACCAUCUCUUGCCC
rnacentral:lncRNA from 10 species